rnacentral:rRNA from 1 species
AGAGUUUGAUCCUGGCUCAGGACGAACGCUGGCGGCGUGCCUAAUACAUGCAAGUCGGACGAACCAGGAAAGGAACUUGUUCCUUUCCUUGGUUAGUGGCAGACGGGUGAGUAACACGUGGAGAACCUACCUUUCAGCGGGGGAUAACCAUUGGAAACGAUGACUAAUACCGCAUAGGACUUUGAGUCACCUGACUUAAAGAGGAAAGACGGCUUCGGCUGUCACUGAAAGAUGGCUCCGCGGUGCAUUAGCUAGAUGGUAAGGUAACGGCUUACCAUGGCCAUGAUGCAUAGCCGACCUGAGAGGGUGAUCGGCCACAUUGGGACUGAGACACGGCCCAAACUCCUACGGGAGGCAGCAGUAGGGAAUCUUCCGCAAUGGACGCAAGUCUGACGGAGCAACGCCGCGUGUGUGAAGAAGGUCUUCGGAUCGUAAAGCACUGUUGUUAGAGAAGAACACCCGGUAGAGUAACUGUUACCGGCAUGACGGUAUCUAACCAGAAAGCCACGGCUAACUACGUGCCAGCAGCCGCGGUAAUACGUAGGUGGCAAGCGUUGUCCGGAUUUAUUGGGCGUAAAGGGAGCGCAGGUGGUGACUUAAGUCUGAUGUGAAAGCCCACGGCUCAACCGUGGAGGGUCAUUGGAAACUGGGUCACUUGAGUACAGAAGAGGAAAGUGGAAUUCCAUGUGUAGCGGUGAAAUGCGUAGAUAUAUGGAGGAACACCAGUGGCGAAGGCGACUUUCUGGUCUGUGACUGACACUGAGGCUCGAAAGCGUGGGGAGCAAACAGAAGUAGAUACCCUGGUAGUCCACGCCGUA